GGCCCGGUGGUGUAGUGGUAACACAUUGCGUUCGGACGUGAAGAGGAAUGGUUCGAUCCCCUCCCGGUCCA
rnacentral:tRNA from 1 species